rnacentral:rRNA from 1 species
CAGACUCCUACGGGAGGCAGCAGUAGGGAAUCUUCCGCAAUGGACGAAAGUCUGACGGAGCAACGCCGCGUGAGUGAUGAAGGUUUUCGGAUCGUAAAACUUGUUGUUAGGGAAGAACAAGUACCGGAGUAACUGCCGGUACCUUGACGGUACCUAACCAGAAAGCCACGGCUAACUACGUGCCAGCAGCCGCGGUAAUACGUAGGUGGCAAGCGUUGUCCGGAAUUAUUGGGCGUAAAGCGCGCGCAGGCGGUCCUUUAAGUCUGAUGUGAAAGCCCACGGCUCAACCGUGGAGGGUCAUUGGAAACUGGGGGACUUGAGUGCAGAAGAGGAGAGUGGAAUUCCACGUGUAGCGGUGAAAUGCGUAGAGAUGUGGAGGAACACCAGUGGCGAAGGCGACUCUCUGGUCUGUAACUGACGCUGAGGCGCGAAAGCGUGGGGAGCGAACAGGAUUAGAUACCCUGGUAGUCCACGCCGUAAACGAUGAGUGCUAAGUGUUAGAGGGUUUCCGCCCUUUAGUGCUGCAGCAAACGCAUUAAGCACUCCGCCUGGGGAGUACGGCCGCAAGGCUGAAACUCAAAGGAAUUGACGGGGGCCCGCACAAGCGGUGGAGCAUGUGGUUUAAUUCGAAGCAACGCGAAGAACCUUACCAGGUCUUGACAUCCUCUGACACUCCUAGAGAUAGGACGUUCCCCUUCGGGGGACAGAGUGACAGGUGGUGCAUGGUUGUCGUCAGCUCGUGUCGUGAGAUGUUGGGUUAAGUCCCGCAACGAGCGCAACCCUUGAUCUUAGUUGCCAGCAUUCAGUUGGGCACUCUAAGGUGACUGCCGGUGACAAACCGGAGGAAGGUGGGGAUGACGUCAAAUCAUCAUGCCCCUUAUGACCUGGGCUACACACGUGCUACAAUGGAUGGUACAAAGGGCUGCAAGACCGCGAGGU